UAGCGGAGGGUGCAAGCUGUUAUCCGGAAGUUCACUGGGUUUAAAGGGUGCGUAGGCGGGUAGGUAAGUCAGUGGUGAAAUCCUUCGAGCUUAACUCGGAAACUGCCUUUGAUACUAUCUAUCUUGAAUAUUGUGGAGGUAAGCGGAAUAUGUCAUGUAGCGGUGAAAUGCUUAGAUAUGACAUAGAACACCUAUUGCGAAGGCAGCUUACUAACGGCAUAUAUU
rnacentral:rRNA from 1 species